UACUGGAGACAGGUGCUGCAUGGCUGUCGUCAGCUCGUGUCGUGAGAUGUUGGGUUAAGUCCCGCCAACGAGCGCAACCCUUGCCUUUAGUUGCCAGCAGUUCGGCUGGGCACUCUAAAGGGACUGCCGGUGUUAAACCGGAGGAAGGUGGGGAUGACGUCAAGUCCUCAUGGCCUUUAUGACCAGGGCUACACACGUACUACAAUGGCCGAUACAAAGGGCAGCGACACUGCGAGGUGAAGCCAAUCCCGUAAAAUCGGUCUCAGUCCGGAUUGGAGUCUGCAACUCGACUCCAUGAAGUUGGAAUCGCUAGUAAUCGUGGAUCAGCAUGCCACGGUGAAUACGUUCCCGGGCCUU
rnacentral:rRNA from 1 species